GACGAACGCUGGCGGCGUGCCUAAUACAUGCAAGUAGGACGCAGUUGCGAACGGGUGAGUAACGCGUAGGUAACUACCUGUUAGAGGGGGAUAACUAUUGGAAACGAUAGCUAAUACCGCAUACUAGUAGAUGGACCUGCGUUGUAUUAUCUAGUAGGUAGGGUAAUGGCCUACCUAGGCAACGAUACAUAGCCGAGCUGAGUGGGGGGUCGGCCAAAAUGGGUCUGAGAAACGGCCCCAAACUCUUCGGGAGGCAGGCGUAGGGAAUCUUCGGCAAUGGGGGGCACCCUGAACGCGGAAAGCCGCGGGAGUGAAGAAGGUGUUCGGGUGUUAAAGCUAUGUUGUUACGGAAGCGGUACUGAAACAGAAAGGGACGGCUAACUACGUGCCAGCCGCCGCGGUAAUUC
rnacentral:rRNA from 1 species